ensembl:lncRNA
UUAGGACGGAAGUUAACAUAAAAAGCCACGGAUAUAUCGAUUCGUAAUGCCUCGACAAAAACGAGAAAAUGUCGAUAGUUAUCCUGUGUUCAUCAAGUCUGAAUGUGUACACACGUUAACACGGAGCCACAGCUACCAGCAUUAGCUAACUUAUCUGACGUUACAGGUACUGGUGGCAAAUGGCAACUCAGCGUCUGCAAGUUAGCAAUGGCUUCUCGGAAGUUUAUGGAUCACGUUGCUGCAACUAAAACAGACGAACAGGAGGAGAAAUAUUUCUGGCCAGUGAUGGACAUACUUUGCCUACAAAACUAUACAUUUUCAACGGCUGGCGACGAAUGAUGAGGCUUUUGUAAUCCCUUGUGUGGCAGUUGGAGUCGAGAGUUGGCAAGUUGGUCGAGUUCCUUUCACAGACUGGAAACAUGCUUUAGAGACAUUCAAAAACCCAUCCAUCAAAACCCACAUCUUAUCACAACUAGGCAUGUCUCAAAGGUAACCAUUUCAAAAAUUAAAGACUUUCUCUGAUGCAAGAUUCAGGAAAAAGCCGAAGAAAACAGCAACUUUGAUUUUCGCUGCCUCCAACAAAUCGCCUCAAAGGGUUAAACUGAUAAGGGGCCAGAGGCAUUCAGCAAACAUGGUGACGGGAACUUCAUUGCCUUACUCAGGUUGAGAGCUGCACCUGGUGACAGUAAAUGUGCAAAUGACGCCAGCUGCAUUCCCGAAAAGCAAAACAAAAAAGUCCUGGGUUGGAUAUUACAGCCAGCAAAAUGGUCAACAAUCAUAAAACAACACCCGGCAAAAGCUUAGUUAGUGCACGAUUUAACUUUGCUACAAUCAAAAGAACGUCACAGCAAACGGUUGUAUGACCUCAAAUGCCAGCAUGAUGGAGAACUGAUCUGAAAUGCCACAUCUGAGAGGAAGAAAGAGUGGACUGGCACUUACUCUCAGACGACAGAGACGCUUUGUUGACGUCAUAAGAGGUCGUGGAUGUGUGGAAAAAGACGAAUGGACCAGGGCAUUACGAGCUCUACAGCAGGAUCAGCCAGGCUUAAAGAUGUCAGACAUGCUACCAACACCAGAGCCGCUCCAAAGGCAGCAGAGAGGUUACCUGGGUCACGCUGUUACGGCAGAACUGAAAUUGAUGUGCAGUCCUACGAAUGAUGUUGCUGCCGUCAGCAGAAGAAACGUAGUAUCUCCAAAUAGUAAUAUUUCACAGGUCAACACUCACUCACUCUUCAUUUAGACGUGUGAAUCACACUUUCACUUUAGGAAAUUUUGAGUGAUUCGUACAGGUCUGAUGUUGCCCAAUUCAAGUGUAAUUUCUCGGUUAAAAAACUGUUGGGGCCAUUUACAGCCGUGGUAGAGUGAGACAUACAUUGUUGUCAUAAUCGAGCCAGAGAGAUCAUAUUAUAUUAGCUAAUAAGAUGAGAAAAUGGAUGAUAAAAUUACAGAAACUGCGAUCGAUGUUGUGUUAAAUAAAUUAAAACUACAAAUGUUCAAAGCAGAGCAAUGUUAUGCACUGUUGGCAAAAAAAAAAAAAAAAAAAAAAAUAUAUAUAUAUAUAUAUAUAUAUACACACACACACAAACACACACAUAUAUAUGAGAGAGAGAGAGAGAGAGAGAGAGAGAGAGAGAGAGAUUUAGCCAGAUUUAGAGAAAGCGAUAAACUUUUCCUUCAGCUCAGAGUUAGAUCUUCUAUUUUCUCUUAUCACACAGUGAGAAAUAAUUUUUCUAUGCA